AGUGAACGCUGGCGGUAGGCCUAACACAUGCCAGUCGAACGGCAGCACAGUAAGAGCUUGCUCUUACGGGUGGCGAGUGGCGGACGGGUGAGGAAUACAUCGGAAUCUACUUUUUCGUGGGGGAUAACGUAGGGAAACUUACGCUAAUACCGCAUACGACCUACGGGUGAAAGCAGGGGAUCUUCGGACCUUGCGCGAUUGAAUGAGCCGAUGUCGGAUUAGCUAGUUGGCGGGGUAAAGGCCCACCAAGGCGACGAUCCGUAGCUGGUCUGAGAGGAUGAUCGGCCGCACUGGAACUGAGACACGGUCCAGACUCCUACGGGAGGCAGCAGUGGGGAAUAUUGGACAAUGGGCGCAAGCCUGAUCCAGCCAUACCGCGUGGGUGAAGAAGGCCUUCGGGUUGUAAAGCCCUUUUGUUGGGAAAGAAAAGCAGCAGGUUAAUACCCCGCCGUUCUGACGGUACCCAAAGAAUAAGCACCGGCUAACUUCGUG
rnacentral:rRNA from 1 species